UGUGUGUGUGUGACAUAAGAUUCUAUUUAUUUAUGCCUGUAAGUUAUAGUGAUAAAUUUUCCCUGGUCUUGUAUUAUUUGAAAUAUUGUUUCAGAAUUCCCUAAAAUUGAACUUUUUUUUUUAAUCAAGAUCAUGAUUUCCAGAAAUUUUUACUUUUUAAUUUAUGUUUGACUGUUACUUACGCUCUAUUUAUGAACCAUACCAUUUAUCAUUAUGUAGUAUCCAAUUCUGCCAGGUAUAGUGGUCAACAAACCAAGUCUGGCCUGCUGCCUGUUUUCAUAAAUAAAGUUUUAUUGGGACACA